rnacentral:rRNA from 1 species
GAAAAGAACUUUGAAAAGAGAGUAAAAUAGUACGUGAAAUUGUUGAAAGGGAAACGAUUGAAGUCAGUCGUACUGGCGAAAAAUCAACUACUCGAGUGAGUACUUGUGGGCGUACGUGAGCUUCACGGCCGCGUUGUUUGCAAUGUUCGUGCUCUUGUGGUGUACUUUUUCGUGUGGUAGGUCAAUGUCGGUUUUGAACGCCAUAAAAUGAUCGGAGGAAUGUAGCUUCGAUUUAGAUCGAAGUGUUAUAGCCUUUGGUAGAUGUGACGAUUGUGAUCGAGGAUUGCAACGAAUACCCUUUGGACCAUUUGGGUUAUCCGUCUAGCCUUUGAAAGUCGCUUGGGUGCCGAAAGCAUGCUUACGGUUAUCCAAGUUGACUGUCAAUAGAUUAGAACGUGAU